rnacentral:rRNA from 1 species
CGGGUCGCUGCAGCAGCAAGGAAUAUUGGACAAUGGGCGAAAGCCUGAUCCAGCGACACCGCGUGGGGGAAGAAUGCCUUCGGGUUGUAAACCCCUUUUAUCAGGGAAGAAUAAUGACGGUACCUGGUGAAUAAGCCUCGGCUAAAUACGUGCCAGCAGCCGCGGUAAUACGUAUGAGGCGAGCGUUAUCCGGAUUUACUGGGCGUAAAGCGGGCGUAGGCGGCUCGUCAAGUCAGAUGUGAAAUCUCCCGGCUUAACUGGGAGGGUGCAUUUGAUACUGAUGAGCUGGAGUGCAGCAGAGGAAAGCGGAAUUCCCGGUGUAGUGGUGAUAUGCGUAGAUAUCGGGAGGAACACUAGUGGCGAAGGCGGCUUUCUGGGCUGUAACUGACGCUGAGGUCCGAAGGCGUGGGUAGCAAACAGGAUUAGAUACCCGGGUAGUC